rnacentral:rRNA from 1 species
GACGAACGCUGGCGGCGUGCUUAACACAUGCAAGUCGAACGGAAAGGCCCUGCUUUUGUGGGGUGCUCGAGUGGCGAACGGGUGAGUAACACGUGAGUAACCUGCCCUUGACUUUGGGAUAACUUCAGGAAACUGGGGCUAAUACCGGAUAGGAGCUCCUGCUGCAUGGUGGGGGUUGGAAAGUUUCGGCGGUUGGGGAUGGACUCGCGGCUUAUCAGCUUGUUGGUGGGGUAACUGCUGACCAAGGUUUUGAAGGGUAGCCGAACUGAGAGGGUGAUCGGCCACACUGGAACUGAGACACGGUCCAGAAUCCUACGGGAGGCAGCAGUAGGGAAUCUUCCGCAAUGGGCGAAAGCCUGACGGAGCAACGCCGCGUGAGUGAUGAAGGUCUUCGGAUCGUAAAACUCUGUUAUUAGGGAAGAACAAAUGUGUAAGUAACUAUGCACGUCUUGACGGUACCUAAUCAGAAAGCCACGGCUAACUACGUG